UCAAUUUGACACCUGAAAUAUGGAAUUCUCCAUUAAGGAUAUAUGGAGAUUAAAUACACCACCCUGAAACAGGAAGGAAAUUUGCAUAAGAGUGCAUACAAAACCUGCACAUUUUGCAAAUACCAAUAAUCACAAAUUCAGAAAGGCUGCCGAUGUAAGCGACGAUUCAGAAUUCGGAAUUCAGAUUUAUAAAUUCUGAUUUCCAUUUUUUUAUAUGUAAUUCUAACCUUUGAGAAUCUAGAAAUUUGAAUUCCGGGAUCUUUCAUAUACAUCAAAUAUCUUGAUGUGAUUUAAAUCAAAUUUCUCAAUUAGAAACUUUUAUACACAGCAAAUAGCUGAUGCAAUUCUAAAUUCCAAAUUCUCAAUUCCGAAUCUAGAAUUCACUUAGAUAAGUCAGAAUUCAGGUAAACAAUUCAGAAUUCAAGUAAACAAUUCAGAAUUCCAUGAAGAAUAUAGGUAAAAAAAAUAUUCUUUGCUCAGACUCUCCCAGUUAUCAAAUAUUAUUACGUUGGAACAAAAGCCUACUUGGUUAGUAAUGUUAACUGCAUAAAAGACCCACAUGCAUACGGAAAGUAUCCGGAAUACAUAUAAAAGUGGCUGGUUGCCUAUAGAAUAGGUCGUCCAAAAUACCACCAUCGCUAACCAAGAAGGUACGGGCCUCUCUCAAUUAUUGCAACCAUUUGGUAUUCAAGGAGUAGGUCAUCAUAGCAUGGGAAUUCAUAAUUUAUCUAUGCAAUUUGGAAUUUCAUCAAGAAUAUAAGAGAAACAAAUAUGCUCUGUUUAGAAUUCAUAUUCAGUAUUUACAAAACCGAAUCUAGAGUACAGAAUGAAAAUCCAUGUAAACUGUUGCUUAUAAAAGUUUGCUGAUUCAGGAAUCAGAAUUCAUUCAGCUAGAUAAUCGAGAAUUCAGCUAGGCACUUUCAAAUUCCAUGAAGAAUUUAGGGAAAUUAAAUACACUGGUCUAGCUGAAUUAUAGAUUACCUAGUUGAAUUCAGGAACUGAAAUUCAAGCUUCAGAAUCCAGAUUUGUAUUCAGAGUUCACAGAAUCCGAUGAAGAAUAUAGAAAGAAUAAAUAUAUCUUGCCCACACUCUUGCGACCAUGAAACAUGACUACUUUGGCACUGCAAUUACUGUGCUUAUGAACUUGUUGGAAAGGAUUGUGGAUGAUAGAGGGAAAAACGUUAUUUAAUUUAGGGUUUCCCCACAGAACAAUUUCGAGAAUUCAGAAUUCAUAUUUAGAAUUCAAUGUCAACAAUUUAGGAUUCAAGAUGUGAAACCAUAUAAAAGGUUAAAGCCAACUGCAAACUAUAUUAGACAAAAAAGGAAAUUGGGAUCAUAAAAUUCUGAUGCAAUUGAAUUCGAGAGUACUGUUCAUGCAGUUCAAAACUCUGAGCCAUAAGUUUUUUUACACAUCAAAUACUAGUUGCCUAUAGAGAAGGCCAUCCAAAAUUUUCAAAGGGAAAGUCACAUAGCUUGGGAAUUAAGAAUUUAGCUAGGCAGUUCAGAAUUCCAUGAAGAAUAUAAAGAAAAUAAUAUACUUACCUCAGACUCCCGUAGUCAUCAAACAUCAUUAAGUUAGCACCGGAGCCUACUUGGUUACUACUACAAAUUGCAUAAAUGCGCAUCAACUCUUAGUGCGGCUGCCACCAUAAUGCGCGUCAAAAUUAUCUAAUGCUUUACCUGUGUCGACCUUGAUAAAAACUAACAGAGGAUUGAUGGCCUGUUAUGCAGCAAAACAAAUGACAGAGAAUAGACAAUAACAGAGAUAAGAGUACCAAAUAUAUC
rnacentral:lncRNA from 1 species